CCUACGGGAGGCAGCAGUAGGGAAUAUUGCUCAAUGGGGGAAACCCUGAAGCAGCAACGCCGCGUGGAGGAUGAAGGUUUUCGGAUUGUAAACUCCUUUUGUUAGAGAAGAUAAUGACGGUAUCUAACGAAUAAGCACCGGCUAACUCCGUGCAAGCAGCCGCGGUAAUACGGAGGGUGCAAGUGUUACUCGGAAUAACAGGGCGUAAAGAGGGCGUAGGCGGGAUAGCAAGUCAGAUGUGAAAUCCUAUGGCUUAACCAUAGAACUGCAUUUGAAACUGUUAUUCUAGAGUAUGGGAGAGGUAGGUGGAAUUCUUGGUGUAGGGGUAAAAUCCGUAGAGAUCAAGAGGAAUACUCAUUGCGAAGGCGACCUGCUAGAACAUAACUGACGCUGAUGCGCGAAAGCGUGGGGAGCAAACAGGAUUAGAUACCCGUGUAGUC
rnacentral:rRNA from 1 species